UACGUAGGGGGCAAGCGUUGUCCGGAUUUAUUGGGCGUAAAGAGCUCGUAGGUGGUUCGGUAAGUCGGAUGUGAAAUCUCCAGGCUCAACCUGGAGGGGUCAUUCGAUACUGCCGUGACUAGAGUUCGGUAGGGGAGUGUGGAAUUCCUGGUGGAGCGGUGAAAUGCGCAGAUAUCAGGAGGAACACCAGUGGCGAAGGCGGGUCUCUGGGCCGAUAUUGACGCUGAGGAGCGAAAGCGUGGGGAGCGAACAGG
rnacentral:rRNA from 1 species